GUAAAUGUUGAAGAGUUUAUAAGGGUUCACUGACACCAGGAUACUGCCAAUAUACGUCUGGCAGAGAGAGAGAGAGGGUUAAGGCGUGUGUGUGUGUGUGUGUGUGUGUGUGUGUGUGUGUGUGUGUGUGUGUGUGUGUGUAAAUGUUGAAGAGUUUAUAAGGGUUCACUGACACCAGGAUACUGCCAAUAUACGUCUGGCAGAGAGAGAGGGAGGGUUAAGGCGUGUGUGUGUGUGUGUGUGUGUGUGUGUGUGUGUGUGUGUGUGUGUGUGUGUGUGUGUGUGUGUGUGUGUGUGUGUGUGUGUGUAAAUGUUGAAGAGCUUAUAAGGGUUCACUGACACCAGGAUACUGCCAAUAUACGUCUGGCAGAGAGAGAGGGAGGGUUAAGGCGUGUGUGUGUGUGUGUGUGUGUGUGUGUGUGUGUGUGUGUGUGUGUGUGUGUGUGUGUGUGUGUGUGUGUAAAUGUUGAAGAGCUUAUAAGGGUUCACUGACACCAGGAUACUGCCAAUAUACGUCUGGCCGAGAGAGAGAGAGGGUUAGGGUGUGUGUGUGUGUCUGUGUGAGUGAGUGAGUGAGUGAGUGAGUGAGUGAGUGAGUGAGUGAGUGAGUGUGUGAGUGUUGUGAGUGAGUGAGUGAGUGAGUGAGUGAGUGUGUGAGUGUGUGAGUGAGUGUGUGAGUGAGUGAGUGAGUGAGUGAGUGUGUGUGUGUGUGUGUAUGUGUGUGUGUGUGUGUGUGUGUGUGUGUGUGUGUGUGUGUGUGCAUGUUUGUGAGUGUGAGUGUGUGUGUGUGUGUGUGUGUGUGUGUGUGUGUGUGUGUGUGUGUGUGUGUUA
ensembl:lncRNA